GAUGAAGAACGCAGCGAAAUGCGAUAAGUAAUGCGAAUUGCAGAAUUUCCGUGAGUCAUCGAAUCUUUGAACGCACAUUGCGCCCGCCAGUAUUCUGGCGGGCAUGCCUGUCCGAGCGUCAUUUCAACCAUCAAGCCCCGGGCUUGUGUUGGGGACCUGCGUCCGACGCAGGCCCUGAAAACCAGUGGCGGGCUCGCUGUCCACACCGAGCGUAGUAACUAACCUCGCUAUGGAGUGGCGCGGGCGCCUGCCGUAAAACCCCCAAUUUUUACAAGGUUGACCUCGGAUCAGGUAGGAAUACCCGCUGAACUUAAGCAUAUCAAUAAGCGGAGGA
rnacentral:misc_RNA from 1 species